rnacentral:rRNA from 1 species
UACGGGGGGGGCAAGCGUUGUUCGGAAUUACUGGGCGUAAAGGGCGCGUAGGCGGUUGGAUAAGUCAGCUGUGAAAACCACGGGCUUAACUCGUGGCCUGCAGUUGAGACUGUCUGGCUUGAGUGUGGGAGAGGAGAGUGGAAUUCCUGGUGUAGCGGUGAAAUGCGUAGAUAUCAGGAGGAACACCGGUGGCGAAGGCGGCUUCCUGGACCGACACUGACGCUGAGGCGCGAAAGCUAGGGGAGCAAACGGG